GAUGAACGCUGGCGGCGUGCCUAAUACAUGCAAGUCGAGCGAACAGACGAGGAGCUUGCUGCUCUGACGUUAGCGGCGGACGGGUGUGUAACACGUGGAUAACCUACCUAUAAGACUGGGAUAACUUCGGGAAACGGGAGCUAAUACCGGAUAAUAUAUUGAACCGCAUGGUUCAAUGGUGAGAGACGGUUUUGCUGUUACGUAUAGAUGGAUCCGUGCCGCAUUAGGUAGUUGGUAGGCUAACGGCUUACUAAGGCGACUAGGCGUAGCCGACGUGGGAGGGUGAUCGCCGACAUGGGAGGGUGAACGGCCACAAGACGACUGCGAGAGGCACCAGUAGCCUAUGUUCGGCAGUAGGCGAGAACAUGACAGAACGGCGCGACGUGAGUGGUGGAGGUGUUGGGUGAGUGAUGCUGUGUUAUUAGUGAAAAACAACUGUCUAAAUAGAUAAGCCCGUCUUGACGGUACCUGCACAGGAAGCCCCGGCUAACUACGUG
rnacentral:rRNA from 1 species